CUCCCUGUCGCCCCCAACCACCUUCCAUCCCUCGUGACCUGUUCAUGCCGUCGCCGCCUCGAUCCUGUGGAUCUCCCUGCCGCCUCCCACGUCCGUGCUCAUGACCUGUUCCGCGUCCGCUGUCACCCCCAGAUCGCGCGAGGCCCAUGUCCACGCAGUCAUCGUCGCCGCCCCCUGGCCACGCGAGAUGCCAGCGCCCCCUCCACCUUGCGUGAGCGACCCCUUCAUCUACCUUCACCACCAUCUUCAAUCCGCCUCUGCAUCACCGCCAAAACCCUACCCACUUCCCUGCUGCCCAACAAUGAAUCUGCCUCCGCACCACCGCCAAAACUCUAGCAACUAUGGCAGUGAACAACAUCCGGUUUCAAGUCUUUGGCAGCUAUGCUCAUGGAAAAUACGUCUAUGUUGAUGGUGACCGAUCUGUUCUCGCAGAAUCAGCAAAGGCUUGAUAUCAUUGUUGUUUUGCUUUAUCAUUUGGGCAUUUGAAGCAAAGCUCUAUGGAGAAAAGGCAGGGAAAUGUUGUCUUUCUCAUUUUUGCAGGCUGACGAAUUUAAUGCAGUGGCAAGAGUUGGGGUUGCUGCUGACCAUCGUGGAAUCAUCUGCAGUCGUCGUGUGUCCACACUCCCUAACAUGUUGAGCCUCUUGCUGAUCAGAUCAGGCUUGAGAAGGAAAAUUUGGUUUUAAUAAGUGUUCUUGUCUGGUUCGAUUAAAGAAAGAUUCAGUAAUUGUCUUUUUUAGGAACAUAGAUUCUUCAUCUGUGUAUAAUGUAUUUUUAUUAUCUAGAUUGUGAUAGUUAUUUCAAGGCCUGGUGAUCGUAUAGCUUGACCAUUGAUUGAUGAUUAUCUGUUGUCUUAAGGAUUGGUACACUGUAUGUGUUCUUUGGUGUUGGUGGUACUUUGCUGACUUCUCUAUUUAUGGUAUCAAAUAUAUCUAUUGAGUGUUGGUACUUCAGGUGCACUAUUUAGACUAUUGGGAUCAAUGCUGUCAGAGCUCAUAAUAAAUUGGACGAUAUACGAGAACAAGGUCAAUUCUAAAAUAUAUGCAGUAUUGCAAUAGUGGAUGGAAACAGAACAAAAUAGUUGUUCCUUGCAGGUAUUGCAAUAUCUCAAACCAGAUAAAAGUAAAUUUUUACUCAGCUAUGGAGCAGAAAAUUCAUGUGAACCCACUGAAGAUACUAAGCCAAACGAAGUGUACACAUAUUCAGAAUUCUAGCUCAAGCUGCCCUAAUCAACUGAGGAGGAUAAGGAUGCCGUGGAUUUUGAGAGGGAGGAGCCCGCCAAUUGCCAGAAGUCUGUGCAAGCUGAUGCAAAUGCGACAGCUGCCCCGUCUAAGGCUGUUGGCUUCUUCGGGAGGACAUUAUACACCACAUUAAUUCUGCUUGUUGCGAGCCAUCCAGAUGUGUAUGAGCCAUGUGAUGAUUUCUUUGCCCUUGUUGAUGCACUACUCUCAGACAAAGCACAACUUUUGACACUACAACCAAGGUUAUGUAUGUAGGUAGUGUCAGAUAGUGGUUACGUCGUCACCUCUAUUGCAACCAUGUUUUGUACACAAUAUAUGUUUUAUAUAUGGUGCACUUGGUUCCGUCUCUAUUUCACUUUUUCUCUUACCCUCUUCUUUUCAUGCUUUUUCGUCAGACGAUGACACUAUCAUGCAAGGCCCACUAUCCUCUUUGUUGUCCUCUCAUGGAUCCUGGUCCAGUGGUGGAGGCUGAGGAAUCAGAAAGGCCCUAGAUCAUGGCCAGUCAUCGACGCAACGGUGGAGCUUAUGGCUGGAAGUAAUAUGAAGAGUCUAUAUCUGACAAAAAAUCAUCUAAAAUUAAAUAGUGAGAUAAGCUUUGAAUAGCUGAUGUAAAAUUAUGGAGUAACAUUGUAUUAGUUGUUGACAAAAAAUGUGAGAAAUUUAGGUCAAUAAUAAUAUAUGUAUUGUUUGUUUAUAU
rnacentral:misc_RNA from 1 species